AUUGAACGCUGGCGGCAGGCCUAACACAUGCAAGUCGAGCGGAUGAAGGGAGCUUGCUCCUGGAUUCAGCGGCGGACGGGUGAGUAAUGCCUAGGAAUCUGCCUGGUAGUGGGGGAUAACGUCCGGAAACGGGCGCUAAUACCGCAUACGUCCUGAGGGAGAAAGUGGGGGAUCUUCGGACCUCACGCUAUCAGAUGAGCCUAGGUCGGAUUAGCUAGUUGGUGGGGUAAAGGCCUACCAAGGCGACGAUCCGUAACUGGUCUGAGAGGCUGAUCAGUCACACUGGAACUGAGACACGGUCCAGACUCCUACGGGAGGCAGCAGUGGGGAAUAUUGGACAAUGGGCGAAAGCCUGAUGCAGCCAUGCCGCGUGUGUGAAGAAGGUCUUCGGAUUGUAAAGCACUUUUAGUAGGGAGGAAGGGAAGUAAGUUAAAACCUGGCUGUUUUGACGUUACCAACAGAAUAAGCACCGGCUAACUUCGUG
rnacentral:rRNA from 1 species